rnacentral:tRNA from 1 species
GUUUCUGUAGUUGAAUUACAACGAUGAUUUUUCAUGUCAUUAGUCGCAGUUAUAUGCUGUGUAGAAAUA